CCUACGGGAGGCAGCAGUGGGGAAUUUUGGACAAUGGGCGCAAGCCUGAUCCAGCAAUGCCGCGUGAGUGAAGAAGGCCUUCGGGUUGUAAAGCUCUUUUGUCAGGGAAGAAACGGUGGAGGCUAAUAUCCUUUGCUAAUGACGGUACCUGAAGAAUAAGCACCGGCUAACUACGUGCCAGCAGCCGCGGUAAUGCGUAGGGUGCAAGCGUUAAUCGGAAUUACUGGGCGUAAAGCGUGCGCAGGCGGUUUUGUAAGUUUGUCGUGAAAUCCCCGGGCUCAACCUGGGAAUGGCGAUGAAGACUGCAAGGCUAGAAUCUGGCAGAGGGGGGUAGAAUUCCACGUGUAGCAGUGAAAUGCGUAGAGAUGUGGAGGAACACCGGUGGCGAAGGCAGCCCCCUGGGUCAAGAUUGACGCUCAUGCACGAAAGCGUGGGGAGCAAACAGGAUUAGAUACCCUGGUAGUCCACGCCCUAAACGAUGUCUACUAGUUGUCGGGUUUUAAUUAACUUGGUAACGCAGCUAACGCGUGAAGUAGACCGCCUGGGGAGUACGGUCGCAAGAUUAAAACUCAAAUGAAAUUGACGG
rnacentral:rRNA from 1 species